rnacentral:rRNA from 1 species
UACGAAGGGUGCAAGCGUUACUCGGAAUUACUGGGCGUAAAGCGCGCGUAGGCGGUUUGUUAAGUCUGUUGUGAAAGCCCCGGGCUCAACCUGGGAAUGGCAAUGGAUACUGGCAAGCUAGAGUGCGGUAGAGGGUAGUGGAAUUCCCGGUGUAGCGGUGAAAUGCGUAGAGAUCGGGAGGAACACCAGUGGCGAAGGCGGCUACCUGGACCAGCACUGACACUGAGGCACGAAAGCGUGGGGAGCAAACGGG